GUAGGUGGCAAGCGUUGUCCGGAAUUAUUGGGCGUAAAGCGCGCGCAGGCGGUCCUUUAAGUCUGAUGUGAAAGCCCACGGCUCAACCGUGGAGGGUCAUUGGAAACUGGGGGACUUGAGUACAGAAGAGAAGAGUGGAAUUCCACGUGUAGCGGUGAAAUGCGUAGAGAUGUGGAGGAACACCAGUGGCGAAGGCGACUCUUUGGUCUGUAACUGACGCUGAGGCGCGAAAGCGUGGGGAGCAAACAGGAUUAGAUACCCUGGUAGUCCACGCUGUAAACGAUGAGUGCUAAGUGUUAGAGGGUUUCCGCCCUUUAGUGCUGCAGCUAACGCAUUAAGCACUCCGCCUGGGGAGUACGGCCGCAAGGCUG
rnacentral:rRNA from 2 species